UACAGAGGUCUCAAGCGUUGUUCGGAUUCAUUGGGCGUAAAGGGCGCGUAGGCGGCAAUUCAAGUCAUCUGUGAAAUCUCCGGGCUUAACUCGGAACGGUCAACUGAUACUGCUCGACUAGAGUGCGGAAGGGGCAACUGGAAUUCUUGGUGUAGCGGUGAAAUGCGUAGAUAUCAAGAGGAACACCUGCGGCGAAGGCGGGUUGCUGGGCCGACACUGACGCUGAUGCGCGAAAGCCAGGGGAGCGAACGGG
rnacentral:rRNA from 1 species